AUACGUAGGGGGCGAGCGUUAUCCGGAAUUACUGGGUGUAAAGGGUGUGCAGGCGGCAUUGCAAGUUUGAUGUGAAACCCCGGGGCUUAACUCCGGGCAUGCAUCGAAAACUACAGAGCUAGAGUACAGGAGAGGAAAGCGGAAUUCCUAGUGUAACGGUGAAAUGUGUAGAUAUUAGGAAUAACACCAGUGGCGAAGGCGGGUUUCUGGACUGAAACUGACGCUGAGACACGAAAGCGUGGGGAGCAAACAGGAUUAGAUACCCUGGUAGUCCACGCUGUAAACGAUGAAUGCUAGGUGUCGGGGCCGUAGGCCUCGGUGCCGCAGUUAACGCAAUAAGUAUUCCACCUGGGGAGUACGGCCGCAAGGCUGAAACUCAAAGGAAUUGACGGGG
rnacentral:rRNA from 1 species